rnacentral:rRNA from 1 species
AGGACGAACGCUGGCGGCGUGCUUAACACAUGCAAGUCGAGCGGAAAGGCCCUUCGGGGUACUCGAGCGGCGAACGGGUGAGUAACACGUGAGUAAUCUGCCCCUAGCUCUGGGAUAGGCUCCGGGAAACCGGGAUUAAUACCGGAUACGACCACCUUAGACAUCUUUUGUGGUGGAAAGAAUUUCGGCUAGGGAUGAGCUCGCGGCCUAUCAGCUUGUUGGUGGGGUAAUGGCCUACCAAGGCGACGACGGGUA